AUUGAACGCUGGCGGCAGGCCUAACACAUGCAAGUCGAGCGAGCGGCGCACGGGUGAGUGAUGUAUGGGGACUGCCCGAUAGAGGGGGAUAACUACUGGAAACGGUAGCUAUUACUGCAUACUACCUGAGAACCCACAUGGGAGUAGCUAGUAGGUGAGGUAAUGGCUCACCUAGGCGACGAUCCCUGGCUGGUCUGAGAGGAUGACCAUCCACACUGGGACUGAGACACGGCCCAGACUCCUACGGAGGCAGCAGUGGGGAAUAUUGCACAAUGGGCGCAAGCCUGAUGCAGCCAUGCCGCGUGUAUGAAGAAGGCCCUAGGGUUGUAAAGUACUUUCAGUCGGGAGGCGUUACCGACAGAAGAAGCACCGGCUAACUCCGUGCCAGCAGCCGCGGUAAUUC
rnacentral:rRNA from 1 species